rnacentral:misc_RNA from 1 species
UUUUUUUUUUUUUUCCAUGCAUUGUGAACUUUAUGUUUGGGAAGCAAAGGAAGCACUUUCUUUGGGUCUUCUAUUCUCCCGAUGAUGCUCCAUGGAAAUUGUUAAGAAUUAUCUACGCAUAUAAUCUGCCUGUAGUGCUUCCUUAUAUUCCACAAUGAGGAAUAAAUCAGGAAAUACUAAGUGGCCUCCACAACAAUGGCCAUGCCAAAAGUUAAGCAUCAACUUUAUAACUAACAAAUUAUGUGAACCAGUCCAAAGACCUUUCCCUGCUCCUUCCCCAUGAGUACCCCCAAACAAUUGCUGAAGCUUAAUGGUACUUAUCCUCUCUAUGUCACUUCCCUAGCACCUUCCUCCGUAAAGAAUCAACUUUGUGAUCAUUUUCCUAACAAUGCUCUAUAAGAAGUAACAACUUUUAGCUCCCAACCUCUUUUGUUGAGUGCCUUCCUCUUCACCAAAUGGCCUUUAUACUUAUCAUCUAAGCCACCCUAGACUUGCUUCUUUGCCAUUUUCACUCCUUGCUGUAUUUUGCUUUCAGUUUGAGAUGCUUUUACCCUAAAGCAGAAUUAGCAUUGACGUAAAGUAUCAUUGCUACUAGGUGGCUUCUGCCACCUCCUAAAUUUACUUCCUUGAUGGUUCAUCUUAUUAUAAGUGUUUUCUUUUACUGCAGAGUGAAUUUCACUAUUUUACAUGUAGCUGUCUGUCAAAUGUGGCUAUUGAAUUUGCAUUCACUGUCUUGGCAUCCUUGAAUUUCUUAAAAUGCAGGCCCCAGCUAACAAUUGCUACAU